GACAGAGGGUGCAAACGUUUGUUCGGAAUUACUGGGCGUAAAGCGCGUGUAGGCUGCUCUGCAAGUCGGAUGUGAAAGCCCUGGGCUCAACCUAGGAAGUGCAUUCGAAACUGCAGAGCUGGAGUCCUGGAGAGGAAGGCGGAAUUCUCGGUGUAGAGGUGAAAUUCGUAGAUAUCGAGAGGAACACCGGUGGCGAAGGCGGCCUUCUGGACAGUGACUGACGCUGAGGCGCGAAAGCGUGGGGAGCAAACAGG
rnacentral:rRNA from 1 species